UACGAAGGGUGCAAGCGUUACUCGGAAUUACUGGGCGUAAAGCGUGCGUAGGUGGUGAGUUAAGUCUGUCGUGAAAUCCCCGGGCUCAACCUGGGAACUGCAUCUGUGACUGCAUCGCUGGAGUGCGGCAGAGGGGGAUGGAAUUCCGCGUGUAGCAGUGAAAUGCGUAGAUAUGCGGAGGAACACCGAUGGCGAAGGCAAUCCCCUGGGCCUGCACUGACGCUCAUGCACGAAAGCGUGGGGAGCAAACAGG
rnacentral:rRNA from 1 species